rnacentral:rRNA from 1 species
AUUGAACGCUGGCGGCAGGCCUAACACAUGCAAGUCGAGCGAGCGGCGGACGGGGGAGUAAUGUAUGGGGACUGUGCGAUAGUGGGGGAGAACUAAUGGUAACGGUAGCGAAUAUAGCAUACUAUCGGAUUGUCCAGAGGGGAUUAGCUAGUAGGUGAGGUAAUGUCUCACUGAGGCGCCUAGCCCUAGCUGUUCUGAGAGGAUGAUCAGCCCCACUGGGACUGAGACACGGCCCAGACUCCUACGGAGGCAGCAGUGGGGAAUAUUGCACAAUGGGCGCAAGCCUGAUGCAGCCAUGCCGCGUGUAUGAAGAAGGCCCUCGGGUUGUAAAGUACUUUCAGUCGGGAGGCGUUACCGACAGAAGAAGCACCGGCUAACUCCGUGCCAGCAGCCGCGGUAAUAC